AGUCUCCUAGUUUGAGGGACUGAUAUCAUUUUUAACGUGUCUCCUAUUUUUAGGGACC
rnacentral:pre_miRNA from 1 species